GACCUCAAGGUCUAGCUGUGCUAAUGCCUCAUAGUUUAUCUCAACCAUAUAUAAAGAAUACAGAAGAAGACUCCAGGAAGUGGGGGAGCCACUAGAGGAUUCCAUCCAGGACACCACAUUUAAUUGUUAUGAUGUCUUGUGCUCCUCUUGGCUGUGAGAGUUUCUCAGAUUUUCCUUGUAUUUGAUGACCUUGAUAGUCCUUAGGAGUACUGGUGAGGCAAUGAGGAAGCAAUGAAGGACUCUGAGCAAGAGAAUGAUGUAUAUGGGCCAUUGUUUUGGAAGAUUCAUCACAAAUUCAUGUUCAAGUAGAUUGGAGGAAGUAACAACAGAAAGAAAGGCCAAUUAUGAGACCAUUGCAAUACUAUAUGAUGAGAGCAUCAGAGACAAUAACCAAGGUCUUAUAGAUACCAAGUGAGGAAACUGGGAUUAGAAGUCGGUCUAUUUCAUUGGAAAGGCUGUUUUCAUUCUUUUUCUCUGGAAAAGUUGUCAUCCUGUGUCUUUCUUG